rnacentral:rRNA from 1 species
AACGAACGCUGGCGGCGCGUCUUACACAUGCCAGUCGAACGGCAGGAAGGGGCUUGCCCCUUCUGAGAGUGGCGGACUGGUGAGUAACACGUGGGUGACAUACCUUUUAGUUGGGGAUAGCUAUUAGAAAUAGUAGGUAAUACCGAAUGUGACCGUACCUGUUAGAGGGGUACGAGGAAAGGAGCUAAGGCUUCGCUAAAAGAAUGGCUCGCGGCCCAUUAUGCUCGUUGGUGAGGUAACGGCCCACCAAGGCGAUGAUGGGUAUCCGGCCUGAGAGGGUGAACGGACACAUUGGGACUGAGAUACGGCCCAGACUUCUACGGGAGGCAGCAGUUAAGAAUAUUCCGCAAUGGACGAAAGUCUGACGGAGCGACGCCGCGUGGAUGAAGAAUGCCGAAAGGUUGUAAAAUCCUUUUAAGCCUGAUGAAUAAGCACAGUAGGGAAUGAUUGUGCGGUGACCGUAGGGCUUGAAUAAGCACCGGCUAAUUACGUG